UUACGGCCACAUCUCGUUGAAACACCGGUUCCCGUAUGUUAAGCAAUGCUGAGCCCGGUCAGUACCUAGAUGGGUAACCGCUUGGGAAUAGCAGGUGCUGUAA